ensembl:lncRNA
AAGAGAUAUAUAAACAGUACUGUGGGUUUUAGAUGGAGUGCUCACUUCCGUCUGGGGCAAUCAGUAAAGGCGUCACUGAGUAGAUGGCACCAAUUGAACUUUGAAGGAAUGAUGGGCUUUCAUCAUGUGGGAAUGUGGGGGCAAGGCAUUUCAGGCAGAGGAAAAAUAAGUGUGAGCAAAAGCAGGAGGUGGGCAUCCAUGUGCUACUGUUGAUUAUCCAUGUGUCUACUCCCCAGACUGAGACUUGACUAUAUUUAACCUGACCGAAGGAAUUUGGAUAUGUUCCCCCUCCUUCUUGGCCUGUGGCUCAAACACUGGGCAUUCUUGUGUCAGAAAGAGUUAAAUCUUAAAACAGGAAUUUGAUUACUAUGGAGACUACAUGUACACCAUCCAGAACAGUGAGGAAAAAAAUCAACGGACCAGUUGGGUCAAAAAUCAAAGUUAUGGCAAGGCAUUUUCUGGGAAAUUAAUAAUACUGGAAUUGGAGAUGGAGGAUCCCGGGACUUGCUAUUUACAACUGGAACAGAAAAACCACAGAAAUAGUAUCCCUUCUCCCCAUUAUCUCACUAUUCCUGCUUUCAGCCUGGCUUCCAAAGACAUCAUGAAGGACAGUGAACCCUGUAGAGAAAGGGUCCUCCCAUCCUCAACACCAACCUCUGACAAACUGCUGUUGAUCAUCGGUAAGCCCAAGAGCCCCAGCAAUGGAGGCACCUCCCUCCAGACUACCACGCUGCUUCUAGCCCAGACCCCGAAGCCAUCAUCCAGGCGAACAAACCUCAUGGAAGUGUCACUUGGUAUGGCAGUCUUGCCUCCUCAGCAGCCACAGCUCCUGAUGACUUGGACAAGAAAGUUGUAGCCAUCACGCUCCUUGGCACUGUCAGAGAGCUCCACAUCAGAAACAGAUGUGAUUGUGUUAGUGAAAAUGACAUUAAGGAAGAUGCAUUACCAUCUGCUUCAAUGCUAUACCUAAGGCUCAUGGGGCUAUUCAUUUGAAAACUCCUACAGGUCUUCACGAGUUCACUGAAAGCAGGGGCAAGUCAAGUCAAUUAGCAUUUAUUAAGCACCUACUAUGUGCCAAUUGGGCAACUAGGUGGUGCAGUGAACAGAACAGUGGGGCCAGAGUCAAAAGGACCUGAGUUCAAAUCCUGCCUCAGACACUUACCAGCUGUGUGACUCUGGACAAGUCCCUUCACUCUGUUUGCCUCAGUUUCCUCAUCUGUCAGAUGAGCUGGAGAAGGAAAUGGAAAAAUCAGUCCAGUAUCUUUGCCAAGAAAACCCCAAAAUGGGAUCAGGAAGAGUUGGGCAUGUUCGAAAUGACUUAGCAACAACAAAUGUGCCAGGCACUGUGCUACAUCCUAGAGGUGCAAAGAAAAGAAAACAGACAAACCAUCAGCAACAAAAAACACACUAGUACCAGCUUUCGUGAAGUUCACAGUUUAAUGGGAGAAGACGAUGUAUAAAUAACUGUGUACAAACAAGCUAUAGAAAGGACACAUUGGAAAUAACCAACACAAUGAAAGCACUAGAAUUCAGGGGCUAGGAAAGGCUUGCUGUAGGAAGGGCUACACUGCUAAGGGUGUAGAGAGAUAAAAACAGUAACUGCUACCAAGGUGCUCCUAUUCUACUAGAGGAGGCGACAUCCAAACAAUCAUCCAUUCAAGAUAUAUGCAAAUAGGGGCAGGCUGGUAAACGUUGGACAAUCAGCCUCUGAAAACCUCAGCACCCGUCUGAGUUUAACCUGCGUUAUCAACAUUUUCCCAUCACUUUCUUAAAUCCAGACAAACAAAAGCACAAUAAACCAAGCCCUGAUGUAUACGUUACUGAUUUC